rnacentral:lncRNA from 1 species
UUUUGUGAAGGUAUUUCAUUUUAAACGAUGACUAUAAGUCGUACAUUGACGUAAAUCACAGAGCAACGAAGCACAAUAAUUGGCGGGAUGGCCGUUUAUUUUUUCAAAUGCUUCCGGGUUUUUAUUGAAUCCGCUGGCGAGAUCAAGAUGGACAGCCUGCCGAAUAAACAAGGAAGUCCUCGUGCUGCUGCCAGCAUGGUUCCAUCUAUGCGGUCAUCUUUCUCUUCACAACGCAAGCGCAAACGUUCAAGAAUGUCCUUGAGCCAUGCACCAUCAUCCAUCUCACGGGGGAGAGGUCCACUUGCAUCCCCUUCCUUGACAUGCAGUCUCAACCCGCAGAACAGCUUGUGUCGCUCACUUAUGCUCAGGUACAAGUCAUCUCCACUGAAAGGGCAAACCAAGCUUUCCACACGUACACCUGAAAUGACUCCCUUCACUCUUAUGAGCAAGAUCGUUAGAAAUGGUCCAUUCAAGUCACCUGCUGUGUUUCAAAAAUCCCCAAUAUUGUCAAUUGAACAACAAGAACCCAGGAUUCCCUCUUCAACGAAGGCUUCUCGUCACUCACACACAAAAUCCUUGACAAAGUUGAAUAUACAGCACAAGGUGAUUGUGGAUAAGGCGCUGAAACCGCGUCAACGUUGGAAACAUCAAAGCCGUGUUGACCCACAGGCUUUCGCUCAAGGUAUGAGGAGAAAACUUCUGGAAACCAUUGGUGAUUGCAUCUGGAAGGUUGUUUCACUCAGCUGCUCUUGUGCUUUUAUUACUUAUCAAUACUUCAAUAUUUUUCCUUGGCAGUUGAAUUUAUUUUAUUUUAUUUAAAUAGGAUGCCUUUCUGUGCUGUCACAACCACUACGAUUUUCAGUACUCCGCAUGGUUCACACAGUCCUCGAAACUCCUUGAAAUUCCUGCAAAAUGAAAAGCAUUUUCAAGUUCUGGAAAGUUCUCGACAGUAUGGAUUUUAUCUUUUACAUCAUUAUCAGUUCUUGAGUUAAUGAUUCUUGAGUUAAUCCCCCCAAUGUUUUUCUAUUCUAUCUGCUGCUAAUUAUGUGUCGAUGGAUUGAAAGUUGGAAAAUUGGGGAAAUUAUACCGGGGAUGAAACGUGCUAAUCUCACAAUGCAUUCCCAUCCCCCCCCCCCCAAAUCCCCUGGACAAAGGGCAAGGUCUGUCUAAUCAUACAUCCCCCCCCCC